AACGAACGCUGGCGGCGUGCCUAACACAUGCAAGUCGAGCGGAUCGCGUGGGGCAACUCACGCGGUUAGCGGCGGACGGGUGAGUAACACGUGGGUACCCUACCUGGGGGACCGGGAUAACACCUCGAAAGGGGUGCUAAUACCGGAUACGCUAUCCGGGACGCAAGUCCUGGAGAGGAAAGGUGGCGCAAGCUGCCACCCCCAGAUGGGCCCGCGGCCCAUUAGCUAGUUGGCGGGGUAACGGCCCACCAAGGCGAUGAUGGGUAGCCGGCCUGAGAGGGUGGCCGGCCACACGGGGACUGAGACACGGCCCCGACUCCUACGGGAGGCAGCAGUGGGGAAUCUUCCGCAAUGGGCGAAAGCCUGACGGAGCAACGCCGCGUGGGGGACGAAGGCCUUCGGGUCGUAAACCCCUGUCAUGGGGAAAGAAGGGCAUCGGGGUGAACAGCCCCGGUGCUUGACGGUACCCCAAGAGGAAGCCACGGCUAACUCCGUGCCAGCCGCCGCCGUAAUAC
rnacentral:rRNA from 1 species